AAAGUACUUUGCUGCUAUGUUGAUGAAGAAACGGAAUGUGAAAGAAAUAGCAGUAUUUUAGAGAAAAUAUUCAAAGGGCUUUGAAAAUGGCAGACCAGCAGUGGAGCAGUUAGAGUGGUUUGUCCAGGCUGUGGAAAAGAAGAGGAUGCAUUGUCUAUGAAAAAUGUGUUAUAAGCAUUUUCCUGGCUCUGUCGCUAAAGCAGUUACUUUUGGGAUCACAGUCUACACUUUGCCACAACAACAGGGAUCACCUAGCAAGCUCUCCAAGGGUGUGGCAUGGUCUCUGCUUGAGCAAACCAAGAUCUAUAUCCUUGCUUUCUCCAAAUAGAUGCUUCCCAAAUCCAAAUCCCUUCUCCUCUCUACAUGUAAUACUAUGUCCCAAGAUGUA